UACGUAGGGUGCGAGCGUUAAUCGGAAUUACUGGGCGUAAAGCGUGCGCAGGCGGUUUUGUAAGCCAGAUGUGAAAUCCCCGGGCUCAACCUGGGAAUGGCAUUUGGGACUGCAAGGCUGGAGUACGGCAGAGGAGACUGGAAUUCCUGGUGUAGCAGUGAAAUGCGUAGAUAUCAGGAGGAACACCGGUGGUGUAAACGGCUUUCUGGACCAUAACUGACGCUGAGGCACGAAAGCGUGGGUAGCAAACAGG
rnacentral:rRNA from 1 species